GUUGAUUCCUUAGACAUUUUUCAUUUAGUAUGGGUUUGUAUGGGAUCCCGGGCUGGGCAUCUCUGGAGCAAUGUGCAGCGUCGUGUGUUUUGCUCAGUGGCGCGUUGACAUCGCCAUCAAAAUGCUUUGACGUGGUUUUUGAUUGACAGGAAACUCAUAAAUAAUUCAUGUCAUUAAAUCAUGUUACAUUUUUUUUUCAGCUUUCUGCUUCAUCUUCUUCUGCAGCAGCAGCAGCAGUCGGAGUAACGACAAUCGCAGUCGCAGUCGCAGCUUCAACAUCUUCAGCUUCCCCACUGACGUUGAGAGUCAAGAGUCGAGAGCUGAGAGUGAAGAGUGAAGAGUGGAGUCGACGGGGUCGGGGCCACGCCAUUGAAACAAGUUUCCUUGGACAACGACUGAGGUUGGGAAUAGGUGGAGUAGGAGUUGUACAGCUGGAGUGCUGGACAUUUAGCUCAGCUCAGCUCAAGCUGAGGGGCCCAGCAAUUAAAUGUGAAAACAGUUGCGUUGCCCACAGUCGCCCCAUCGAUGCAUGUUGCUUGCUGCUCUCGCUCGUAACUGUAACUCAAUUCACUCAGAUUUUCAUUUUUUUUUUUUUUUUAAUAUUACUUUUGCUGCAAACUUGAAGGAAAUAAGUUUUCAAUGAAUAUAAUUAUGCAAAGCAGGGCGAGCAGAAGGACGCGUCACACAGUUUGCCAGGACACUUGGCCGCCCCCUCGAUGGGUGGCCACAAAAAAAAAACGCAUUAAAAUUACCAGAAAGAUGGCCGAAAAAAAAUCAUUUGCUGUCAAUUGUCCUUCAGCUGGAAAAAGUCUUGACGGCGGCCUGCGCGAAGUUUUUAAUUUUUAUCAAAGAUUUUUCGGCUCAGUUUUUUAAUGAAAUUUCUGGCAUUGGUCUGCCAAAGGAUUUGGCUGCUUGUCGUGCAUAAUUUGCAUAAAUUGUUUUGAGCAGGAGCCGAAGGAGCAGCAAUUUUUAAUUUGUGAUUUUCUACAUCAGCAGCCACGCCCCCAAAGGACCAUCUUCAGCCUUCUCGCUGUAUGUGUUGCGCUUUGUUGUUGUGUCUCGAUGGUGUGUGGCGAUAAUAAUUACACGUCACGCUGCCACGCAAUCAAAACAUUAAUUGUGCAAAAUCACGGAACUGAACUGAAGCGGAAGUGAUGAAGGACUUCAGGACUUAUUGGCUGCACGCGUCCUCGUUGACGUCGCAACGACGACGACGAAAGCCACCAACAACAAAACGUAAAAAGUUUAAAAAAUUGUAUCCUCAACCGCACCCCAUUUAAAUUACAGUCAAGCCAGAGUCAGGGUUAGAAUGAGCACCAAAGCCAGUAGUCAGAGUCAAUAUACGAGUAGUAGCCUGAUCCUGGCAAGCGUCGCUGUCCCUGGGGCCGCCACUUCGCGCGUGUUAAAUUCAACGCAACGCGUGCGGUCACGUGGCGGACAGAGUUACGCCCACAAUCAUGAUAGUCGCAAUCGUUUUGCUGAGAUUUACACAAAAACACUGGCAACACAUCGAACGAUGAUUUCUGACCAAACCAAUCAGCAACGCUGACGUUAACAGUCAGAGGAGAUGGAUGUGGAGACACGGUGACGGAAAAGCAACGCGGAGCAACGACAACAGAAAAUCGUUGAAAAUUAUGUAAAUUAUUGUCAAUUUGGGGCUUGGGGAUUGUCAGUACAAGCAGUGCGAAAAUUUGCCUAAAUGCUUUAUAGCCAACUGAAGAGACAUCACGACAGUCUGUGUCCUGCUGGAAUACACAGCAGCUCCAAACUGUUGCACGCCGACAAAAUGUGACAGAAACAUAUGUUGCCACAAUCAACGACAGUAAAUCCCCGUUCCCAACUCAACGAGGAUGCAACAACCCUUUGACAGCACCACAACAUUGUGUCGAUAAGCGUAGCAAAAUGUUGGAUUUGCGGAUGGCCAAUGAGCCUAAACGA